rnacentral:rRNA from 1 species
UACGUACGAGGCGAGCGUUAUCCGGAAUUACUGGGCGUAAAGCGCGCGCAGGCGGAUGUUUAAGUAGGGCGUGAAAUCUCCCGGCCUAACUGGGAGGGGUCGCCCUAGACUGGGCGUCUUGAGGACAGCAGAGGUGGGUGGAAUUCCUGGUGUAGAGGUGGAAUUCGUAGAUAUUAGGAAGAACACCAGUGGCGAAGGCGACUCACUGGUCCGGUACUGACGCUGAGGUGCGAAAGCGUGGGGAGCAAACAGG